GGCCCGUUGGUCAAGGGGUUAAGACACCGCCUUUUCACGGCGGUAACACGGGUUCGAAUCCCGUACGGACUA
rnacentral:tRNA from 1 species